rnacentral:rRNA from 1 species
GAUGAACGCUGACGGCGUGCCUAAUACAUGCAAGUCGAGCGAACGGACGAGAAGCUUGCUUCUCUGAUGUUAGCGGCGGACGGGUGAGUAACACGUGGAUAACCUACCUAUAAGACUGGGAUAACUUCGGGAAACCGUAGCUAAUACCGGAUAAUAUUUUGAACCGCAUGGUUCAAAAGUGAAAGACGGUCUUGCUGUCACUUAUAGAUGGAUCCGCGCUGCAUUAGCUAGUUGGUAAGGUAACGGCUUACCAAGGCAACGAUGCAUAGCCGACCUGAGAGGGUGAUCGGCCACACUGGAACUGAGACACGGUCCAGACUCCUACGGGAGGCAGCAGUAGGGAAUCUUCCGCAAUGGGCGAAAGCCUGACGGAGCAACGCCGCGUGAGUGAUGAAGGUCUUCGGAUCGUAAAACUCUGUUAUUAGGGAAGAACAUAUGUGUAAGUAACUGUGCACAUCUUGACGGUACCUAAUCAGAAAGCCACGGCUAACUACGUG